AACUUUGCACAGUGGCAGUAUCAUAACCAAUGAAGUUUAAUCUGAGGUAUGAUUAUUGCUAGUUGAAAACUUUUCCCAAUACUCUGCUUGCACUGACCAAAAAUGGGGGAGGAAUCCAUUUGUCAGGAAAACUUGUUU
ensembl:snRNA U4 U4 spliceosomal RNA